GACGAACCGUGCGAACGUUGUUCGGAAUCACUGGGCUUAAAGGGCGCGUAGGCGGGCCGCCAAGUUCGAGGUGAAAUCCUCCGGCUCAACCGGAGAACUGCCUCGAAUACUGGAGGCCUCGAGGCGGGUAGGGGCACGCGGAACUGUGGGUGGAGCGGUGAAAUGCGUUGAUAUCCACAGGAACUCCGGUGGCGAAGGCGGCGUGCUGGACCCGAUCUGACGCUGAGGCGCGAAAGCCAGGGGAGCAAACGGG
rnacentral:rRNA from 1 species